GGAAUACCAGCAUACUGCAUUACACUGGCUCCCCGCACUAGCAAUACAAUUGCAACCCGAAGCUCCCGCUGCUCCCUUCCCUUUGUGCUUUUAAACGCAGCCAGGAAACUUAAUGUAUUCGCCAGGGGAGGGGCGGGAUGAAAGCGCUUUUAACCUCCCCGCCAUAAACUUUAAUCGGAUUCCCGGCUGUUGCACGGCAUGGACUCCUCGCCUCUUCUCUGCGUCUCCUUCCCCGUUGUCUCCCAUUUCUACUACGGUCUGCUUUGCGAGAGCCUUUUCCAAGUGAAUGAGUGAUUUCUUUCUCUUGCCGUGUGCAAUCUCUCCCCCCUCCCCUUCCUACCCUCUCUGGCCUCUCUUACACACACUAUGUCUUUCACAUGCGGUCUGCGCCCCCCAGCCCCCUCCCUUUCUUUCUCUUUUGCAGUGUGUUCACAUGCAAUCUCUCUCUGAAUGUGCAAUGUCUUUCCUGCUCGGGAGUGCUGCGUCCUUCACAGUGGAUUGGUUCCUCUUUCGGAGCAGAGGAUGUUGCAAGUAUCUUUGCUGUGAGUUAAAGUUUCUGUAAUAUCAAAAUGAGAAUAACCAGAUCACAAAAUCUUUUGUCUGAUAUUCCUAGUGCAUUCUGUUCAGCUUUCAUUUAUUAUUAAUAUAAUUUGGGAUAGUAUAAAAGAUCUGGCACGUCUUCAUGAAUCUACUGUGUCAACUGCCUGUUGAAUAGAAGAGGAAAUAUCCAAGCAAGAUGGCUGUGCUGCAGAAUUCAGAGAAAGAACCUUUGAUAUUAAAAUUAAAAUGUCGUUAUGGAUAAUUGAAUUCUGUGGAGUUCAAUUCUCUUCUACAAGUUAACUCCAAUAUAUGUUAUUGGUUAUACCUAAAAUGUAUUUUUUAAGUCUACACAUAUUCACUUACUUACUUCUGAACUUCAAUGUUUCUGUUUAGUUCGUCAGAAAUAAUCAUUGCUCUUCAGCUGAAAUAAGGGCUAUAUAAAUACACAGUUAUUAUAAAUUAAGGAAUUAAAUAUGGUGACAAGGGAAGUAAUUUAGAGUAGGACCAAGCUGUUGAUUGUUUAUUGGACCGUCUAUUUGGCCUCGAUCUGCAAAGAAUAAAACAGCUUUACUAGAUAUUUUAUAAUGUUAGUCUUCUCAUUUCUUUUCAUAUGAAAAGUGCA